AAUUAAGCUACUAAGGGCGUACGGUGGAUGCCUUGGCGCCAAGAGCCGAAGAAGGGCGUGGUACACUGCGAUAAGCCUCGGGUAGCCGUGUGCAGGCGUUGAUCCGAGGAUACCCGAAUGGGGAAACCCACCCAGGGGAAUGCCUGGGUACCCCCAGCUGAACAAAAUAGGCUGGUGGGAGGGAACCGGGGGAACUGAAACAUCUUAGUACCCCGAGGAAAAGAGAUCAUUCCCUGAGUAGUGGCGAGCGAAAGGGGAACAGCCCAAACCUAUCACGUGCCAAGGUUGCAGCCGUUGCGUGAUGGGGGUUGUAAGGCACGGCCGGGGCCGCUGCAAAGGCCCCAGGAAGUUACAAAUCUGGUCUCUAGCUGAAGGAUGCUGGAAAGGUCCGGCCAUAGAAGGUGAUAGCCCUGUAAGCGAAAGGGAUCCAGACUCCCGCCGAUGACCUUGAGUACCACGGGGCACGCUAAUCCUGUGGGAAGCAGGGAGGCCCACCUCCCAAGGCUAAAUACUCUUG
rnacentral:rRNA from 2 species